ACUCCUACGGGAGGCAGCAGUGGGAAUAUUGGACAAUGGGGGACCGUAGCAUCCAGCCAUGCCGCGCUGUGUGAAGAAGGCCUUAUGGUUGUAAAGCACUUUAAGCGAGGAGGAGGCUACUAGUAUUAAUACUACUGGAUAGUGGACGUUACUCGCAGAAUAAGCACCGGCUAACUCUGUGCCAGCAGCCGCGGUAAUACAGAGGGUGCGAGCGUUAAUCGGAUUUACUGGGCGUAAAGCGUGCGUAGGCGGCCAUUUAAGUCAAAUGUGAAAU
rnacentral:rRNA from 1 species